GUCAGCACCACCAUGAUGAGACUCGCCACCCUGCUGGUUCUGCUGUGCCUGUGCUCGAUGGCGAUGGCUUCUAUAUCUGACUCUGCAGGUGACGCUGAGGAGAAAUCACUCAGAGCUGUAAAAGUUUUCACUGUAUAUGGAGUAGCAAGAGGAUAAGGAUUUGGAAGAUCACCAACGUAUUGAGGAUGAUCUUUCAGGACUUCUUUAACUUGCCCUAAAGGACCAACCAGACCAAUCAUAACCAAGAAAGAAGAACUAAAGAGAAUGUCCAUUAAUGUCAAAUAAACACAAAUGC